rnacentral:rRNA from 1 species
GAUGAACGCUGGCGGCGUGCCUAAUACAUGCCAGUCGAGCGAACAGACGAGGAGCUUGCUCCUUCGACGUUAGCGGCGGACGGGUGAGUAACACGUAGGUAACCUACCUAUAAGACUGGGAUAACUUCGGGAAACCGGAGCUAAUACCGGAUAAUAUUUCGAACCGCAUGGUUCGAUAGUGAAAGAUGGCUUUGCUAUCACUUAUAGAUGGACCUGCGCCGUAUUAGCUAGUUGGUAAGGUAACGGCUUACCAAGGCAACGAUACGUAGCCGACCUGAGAGGGUGAUCGGCCACACUGGAACUGAGACACGGUCCAGACUCCUACGGGAGGCAGCAGUAGGGUAUCUUCCGCAAUGGGCGAAAGCCUGACGGAGCAACGCCGCGUGAGUGAUGAAGGUCUUCGGAUCGUAAAACUCUGUUAUUAGGGAAGAACAAGCGUGUAAGUAACUGUGCACGUCUUGACGGUACCUAAUCAGAAAGCCACGGCUAACUACGUG